rnacentral:rRNA from 1 species
AACGAACGCUGGCGGCAGGCUUAACACAUGUAAGUCGAGCGCCCCGCAAGGGGAGCGGCAGACGGGUGAGUAACGCGUGGGAAUCUACCCAUCUCUACGGAAUAACGCAUGGAAACGUGUGCUAAUACCGUGUACGUCCUUCGGGAGAAAGAUUUAUCGGAGAUGGACGAGCCCGCGUUGGAUUAGCUAGUUGGUGGGGUAAAGGCCUACCAAGGCGACGAUCCAUAGCUGGUCUGAGAGGAUGAUCAGCCACACUGGGACUGAGACACGGCCCAGACUCCUACGGGAGGCAGCAGUGGGGAAUAUUGGACAAUGGGCGCAAGCCUGAUCCAGCCAUGCCGCGUGAGUGAUGAAGGCCCCAGGGUUGUAAAGCUCUUUCACCGGUGAAGAUAAUGACGGUAACCGGAGAAGAAGCCCCGGCUAACUUCGUGCCAGCCGCCGCCGUAACAC